UUUUUCUGUUUCUCCGCCUGAUGGCCGACUUGUUGCUCCGCCUCACGCUGACCUGUGCUCGCCUUAUGGCUGAACUGUUGCUCCGAGUCCGCCUGACGAGCCACCUGUUUCUCCGGAUCUGUUUCUCCGCCUAACGGCGACGUGUUUCUCCGGACCUGUUUCUCCGGACCUGUUUCUCCGCCUAACGGCGACCUGUUUCUCCGGACCUGUUUCUCCGCCUAACGCCCGAGCUGUUGCUCCGCCUAACUCCUGACCUGUGCUCGCCUCACGCCCGACCUGUUGCUCCACCUCACGCCCAGCCUGUUGAUCGGUGGACGGGUAAGCGCGCAUGGCAUCGGAAGGAGCUCGAAAAGUAUAAGGUGAUGACAGUAAGUAACGUUACUGUGAUUUGUGAUCUUUCUGGGGUGUUAACUGUAAAGCAAUGGAUAAUUGCGUGAAAAUCAAACUAAAAGAAUGCAAUCUUGAGGAGUUAAUCCCCACAUUUGAAGCACAGGAACGAACCUUUCCUCGUUUUUAGGUCAAUUUGAAUACAAUUCAGAGGGGUGGCAUGGGGGCGCAGUGGGUAGUGCUGUCGCAUCACAGCAAGAUGGUCGCUGGUUUGAGCCUUGGAUGGGUUUCCCCUCCACAGUCCAAUGACAUGCGGUGUAGCUGAAUUGGAUUGGGACCAAUAUUGCUGAGUAUCUUCAUCCAUUGAAUUCAAGAAUCUAUUGAGUUUCCUCAUGUUCUCAUCCUUGGAGACCACCACUUCUUUCAAGCCUUUGCUCACGUGCUGUGCUAUUUAUUAUUGCAAAGUACAUUACUUGCCAAAGUGGACGUUUGCUAUAAAGCAUUCUACAUCUUUGGUGUGAACUACCCCAAGCAGUGUUCCCUGGUGUGGCAGACUGUGGUUUAUGGACAUCCUGGGGAGGAGACACUAGCAGUAAGGGUUCUGCUAGCAUUAAUUUUUGCUGACAAACAGUAAUAAUUAAUACUGUGACCUCACUGCUUCCUUGGAUUCUGUGUUCUUUAACUUGUACUUUGGAUUGUGGGGGAAAAGGAGCACCCAGAGAAAACCCACAC
rnacentral:lncRNA from 1 species